GCUGCGCCGGGCCCUGCGCUACCUGGAGAGCCCCCAGGAGCCCCUGCGAGAGGCGGCCAUCAGGUUCAUGGGGAUGGCCGGGCGGCACCUGAGGGGGCAGCCAAGAGAGCUCCUGAUGAUCUGCAGUGCCCUUGAACACCUGACCGAGGAUAUGAGCAGUGCCGUGUCAGAGGUGGCACUUCAAACACUGCAUGUCCUCCGGGCAAUUCAGCGUGGGCACUAUUCCAUCUUCCAGAGGCUGCAAGAUCAGCUGCGCAGGGCAUGGAAGAGUCGGCCUCGUCUGUCAGGGCUCGGCUGGCUGCAUUGCCGGAGCUCUGAGGAGAACUGAUGGGCAAGGCACACUUGGUGGGGGCAAU